rnacentral:rRNA from 1 species
CCACCUCUUCCCAUUCCGAACAGAGAAGUUAAGCUCACCAUCGCCGAUGGUACUGCCCCACCAGGUGGGAGAGUAGGUAGCUGCCACGC